GGGGGAGUAGCCCAGAGGCGAGGGCAAGGCGCUGUAAACGCCCCACAAGGAAACACCGCAGGUUCGAGUCCUGCCUCCCCCA
rnacentral:tRNA from 1 species